UCUGCGACUUUCGCUUCAACUCCGGGUGCUGUCCAGGUGGGGCGAGGAAGAAUGUUAGAUCCUGAGAGCUUGUCCCGCCCCUCUUCCUUCCCCAUUAUAGCAAUUCACUUGCAGCUCUGCCUGGAUUAAGUUGACAGGAUGAACGCAGGCCUGAAAUGCUGAUAAGAAGAGCACAAGUAACACUGAAGGGACUUUUGUGACUCUUACAGACUGUUAAGAACAGGUUCCAAUUAAAACUGGUCAGUAUGGGCCAAAGGGACCUAGAGUUGUUAAGGCGUGGGGACUUGAAAGCCUGAUGUCAUCCUGCUGUCAGUCAAAAGGCAAGAGGUGGACCUGGGCAGAACUUUCUGGAAACUCCCCUGGGAUCCCAAUAAAACUGGAAGGCCGGAGAAGCUUAA